GUCCGGAGAGUCUCAGAUGUGUUUUUGCGGCAGUGCAGGGAAAGCUGAAGAUCAGCCUCAGGGAGAAGGAUGAGGAUCUGUUCCUGCUUCCCACCUGAGCCGGGAUCUGCGACUGCCCCAGUGAGGGCUGACAUUGGCACCCAACAGCCUCAGGAGCCUUCUGAAGAUCCCUCAGAAUUUGGAUCAGCAUCUGGGCUCCCAUACUUGGGCCAAGUUAUUGGCUACCUCCUGGGAAGGGCACCAAAGCACAUCUUCACAAACAUUUGUACAAAUGCCUGGGGAGACAGGACCCAUUGGACAUUGGCUGAGUACUGAGCCUUUGCACACGUAUUCUCUCCUUUGACCUUCUCAAAAAAAUGUUGUGAGUACUAUCAUUUAUGUCCAUUGACAGAUAGGGAACCGUCCCUGGUAGAUCUAUGGGCUUGACU
rnacentral:lncRNA from 12 species